AAGUCGUAACAAGUACUGUUCGGCAAUGAUUUACCAGGGAUUGCUACCUUUUCUAAGAAAGUGCGAGCGCACUGAAGGUUCACGGGGGGGUUUAACGUUGGAUACGUGUUAAUGAUCCUUCCGCAGGUUCACCUACGGAAGUUUUGAUUCAGGGACUUCUGCGUAGACUGUGCUUGAGCGUGAGGCAAGUGGCCUGGCAUUCCUCUGCUUGUUGGUGUCUGAAAGUGUCACCAGCUCUGUACGAAUGGCGCAGUCACGAUCGCUAGAGGCCGACACGGCCGGCGACCGGGUCACUGGGCGCGAGCCCCCCUCGUCACCUUUGCAUGAAAACGGGCCUGCGCUUAAUUGUGCGGCCACCAAACUCGAACAACUGUUAACAAUGGAUAUCUUGGUUCUC
rnacentral:misc_RNA from 1 species